rnacentral:piRNA from 1 species
UAUCCAGCUACUGCACUGAAGCCGUU